GGCUCUGUGGCGCAAUGGAUAGUGCAUUGGACUUCUAGGCUGUGAGCUGAGCCAUUCAAAGGUUGUGGGUUCGAGUCCCACCAGAGUCA
rnacentral:tRNA from 1 species